rnacentral:lncRNA from 1 species
CGGCCUUCCACAACCCUGCUCAGGCUAAACCUGGGGACGCGGGGAUGUAAGAACCUGUGGCAGAAAAAUGAGAGCCCAGGGGAAGCCAGUGACCAUGUUGUGAGGAUGCUCAAGCAGUCUUUUGUAGGGGCCCACGUGGCAAAAAACUGAGCCCUCCCACCAACAGCCAUGUGAGAGAAGUGGGCUGGCAGCAGCUCGUCCAGCCCCAAGCGAACCUUCAGAUGAUGCAGCCCCAGAGCGUCUCCACUGAGGCCUUACCAGAGGCCAGACCCAGAGCCAGCCAGCUAAGCCAGGCCCAGAGCAACUGUGUGCGACACUGUUUACUGUUGUUGAAG